rnacentral:rRNA from 1 species
AAUGAACGCUGGCGGCAGGCCUAACACAUGCAAGUCGAACGGGUCCUCCGGGACUAGUGGCGGACGGGUGAGUAACGCGUGGGAACGUGCCCUUUGCUUCGGAAUAGCCCCGGGAAACUGGGAGUAAUACCGGAUGUGCCCUUUGGGGGAAAGAUUUAUCGGCAAAGGAUCGGCCCGCGUUGGAUUAGGUAGUUGGUGGGGUAAUGGCCUACCAAGCCGACGAUCCAUAGCUGGUUUGAGAGGAUGAUCAGCCACACUGGGACUGAGACACGGCCCAGACUCCUACGGGAGGCAGCAGUGGGGAAUCUUAGACAAUGGGGGAAACCCUGAUCUAGCCAUGCCGCGUGAUCGAUGAAGGCCUUAGGGUUGUAAAGAUCUUUCAGCUGGGAAGAUAAUGACUGUACCAGCAGAAGAAGCCCCGGCUAACUCCGUGCCAGCAGCCGCCGUAAAAC